UCCCAUGCUUCAUGGCUGCUGCUGCUGCGUGGUGUGCACAGAACUCGCCAAGACCUCAGCUGCUUGGUUCCACCAGCCCCACCCCUUCAUCUGGUGUGGACCUGGCCAGGCCAGUCACUCCAGGGCAGCAGCAUGGACAGAGCACAGAGCCCCUGACCUGGCGGACACGGGACAGUCUCUGGCACAGGCGGUGACACCCAUGGGACGGGGAGAAGGCCUCACUCCAUUCCAACACGCACUGCGGCCGAGGAGGGCUUCCCACUGAAGUACAAGGUCCCCACGAGGAACAAACGCAACUCUGGGCGUGCCUUGUGGCCAGUCAGCAAGGCCACCCUGUGUGCACUCUGGAUUCUCACAGCCUUCCUUCUCUUCCCUGGUGACCCUCACUGGCCUGGGUUCUGGGGAGCAUGGCUGCUGUCCCCAAGGCAGGUGUCAACCGCGGUUGUGUUGCUGGAUGUGACCUAGGUGCAGGCUCCUUUGCAGCAGGGGCCGCAGCUGCGACCCUGGAAGUCCACAUUGGUUCCCAGGCCUCAGGAGAUAGGUGGACUGUCCGUCCACUUGAGAAAAGGGAUUUCCAGCUCCGAGGGUGAGUAGCUUGUCCAGGGUCCCAGAGCCAACAGAGGAGACCAGGCUUGAACCUCCUCCAGUUUGACUCCACGUACCAAGCUGUACCCCGGACGCAGUCAGGGGCUGAGGGCCAACUCUGCCGUCUGAUGGGACUCUCCCUCUCUGUCUUAGCAGCUAAUUUGUGUUUCCCAUUUCUUUGUGACAGCUGGCUUCGUCAGACCAGGUCUCGGAUUUUGGAGUGAGAGGAGCUGUGAUUGAGGACUGGUGUCCCAGGUGUCUCACUGGGGCGGUCGCCCUGUGCCCUCGCUGAGCCUGCUGUGCAGUGAGGUGUACACAGAGAGGACCCGGGCUGUCGGGGUGCAGGAGCACUGGCUCCCUACCUUGGAGGGCCAGAGUCACCCGGGGUUCCUUGCCAGGUUCAGCCAAUCUGCCCCAGGCAACACCCAAACCAUAGCCAGUGCAGAGUCUUCCAGGGACACAUCUUCUGUGUUUCAAGAAGAGGAAGGAGUGAGGACCCAGAGUUGGGAGGCCUGGAGCCAGCACCUCCUGACCACGAGUCGGCUUCCUCACCCAGUUGGGGACAGCCCGGUAAAGGGCUCAGUCACAGGCCCACAUGUGUUCUAAGGUUCACCAACUAUCAUUUUGAGGUACUGCUAAGCUUUUGGUUUUUAUAGUGAUGAAAUAUACACAACAAAGUUGAUCAUUUUGACCUUUAAGUGUCCAGCCCACUGGCUUUGAGUAGUUCACACUGCUAUGCGGCCAUCGCCACGUCCCCUCCAGGCCUUCCUCAACCUCCCACACUGAAACUGCAACCCUGUCUUCCCCACGCCCAGCUCCUCACCACCACCACCUGCUUUCUGUCACAUCACUUGACCACUCUGGGGACCUCAUGUCUUGUUGGUGACUGACUGAUCUCACAUGACGUCCUCAGCAUUCAUCCUGUUAACAGUGGCGAGGUUUUUUUUGAAAAGCUACAUAGUGUCCUUUGGCUGCUUAAGCCACAUUUCUUUUAUCUGCUUAUCAUUGAUGGACACUUGGGUUGGUUCCGUCCUUGACCACUGUGAAUAAUGCUGCUAGGGAUGUAGGUGGGAGUGUUUGUUUAAGUCCCUGCUUCUAAUCCUUGUGGUCACAUAUGCAGAAUUGCGUAAUCGUGCAGUGACCACCGUUUUCCAGGGCAGUUGUCUCCUUCAUGUUCCCUCCAGGAAUACAGGAGGCUUCUCGUUCUCGUUUCUCCACACCCCUGGCAACAGUUAUUUUCUGGUUUUUGUCUGUAUUUUAUUUACUUGUUGAUGUGGUUCUGGGGAUUGAGCCCAGGGGCACUUUCCCAUUGAGCUGAUCUCCAGUUUUUUUUUUGUUGUUGUUUGUUUUUUUUUUAUUAAGCCAGGGUCUCACUAAGUUGGCAGGCUGGCCUUGAACCUGAGACCCUCCUGCCUCAGCCUCCUGGCUUGCUGGGAUUAUAGGCGUGCUCCACCCUGCCUGGCUUGACUUUUUUUUUUUUUUAAAGAAGGCAUCCUAAUGGAUAUGAAAUUGUAUCUCUGGUGGUUUGGAUUUGUGUUUUCUAAUGAAUGAUGUUGAACAACUUUCAUGUGCUUAUUAGCCAGUUAAUUAUAUAUCUUCUAUGUCUCGAAGGACUGGGGAUGAGAAUGAGCCCCAGGUAGAUACGUGACUUGGAAAUGCUCACUGCAUGGACCACCUUUUCCCUCUUGGUAGUAUUCCUUUUUGUGCAAAUAAAAAAAUUUAUUUAUAUAUAUAUAUAUAUAUAUAAUUUGUACUGUGGAUUGAACCCAGGGUGCUUUAACCAAUCAGCCACAUCCCUGUCUUUUUUAUUCUUUAUCUUAAGGUAAAGUCUCCUUGAGUUGCUGAAGCUGGCCUUGAACUUGCCAGCCUCUGAGUCCCUGGGAUAGCAGGCAGGGGCCACCGCACCUGGCAGUUUUUCCUCCCAGUGAAGAGCCAUUUUGUUCUCUGUCAGCAGAGAACUCUUAUUCCCCUGCCUCCGGCCUUGCAGGAUUUCUCUUGGAAAUCUUCAUGGUCUUAUUGAUCGCUCACAUGGGGUGACCUGCUUUUCUCAGCUCUUGCUUUCAAGAUGUCCUCUUUGUCCUUCAGCAGUAUGAUCGGCGUGGGCCUUGGCGUGGGUCUCUAGGAGUUUAUCAAGCCUCUGACUUUCGUGUGUCCCACAAUCCCCUGGGCUCGCUCGCUUGUCUCUGUUCCUUUCCCCUUCUCCUCCCCUGCGUAGUGAUUUCAGGUGCCGUCUUGGAGCUCACUGGUGUCCCUCCUGCUGGUUGAGAACUGCUGUUGCCCCGUGGUGAUGUCACAGCUUCAGUGCUGCAGUUCUCAGCUCCAGGAUGUCUGAAUGGCUCUUUAUCACAAUCUCUUUGUUGAUGUUGCCAUUUUGUUCAUGGAUGUGUAUCUGUGUACAGCCCAGGGUUAUGAGGUAAAUUGUGGAAUGGCUAAAGCUGUGUGUCUGUCUUCAGGGGCGAUCUCUGUAGAUAGGUUUUGUUCCCCUGAAUUUCCCCUGGUUUUCUUGUCUGUAUCUUUUGAUCGUUCGUUGACAGCUGGGUACUUGAGGAAACCGCCACCUUACCUGUCUCUGCAGGUGGCUCCUCCGGGCUCCUCCUGCGGCCUUUGUGGUUUUGUGUUUGUUUUUAUUCUUCCACAGGCACAGCUGCGUCUUGGCUGCUUCUCAUGGGUUAGUGCUUCCUCAGUCGGUCCUCUCCUUGGUGACCCAGGCCCCGUGUCCUCAGGCCCCUUAAAUAAAGUCUAUUUGUAAAGUAAGCCCCAAAGAAUUAAAAUUGUUGUCAAGUUUCAUUUAAGCACUUGGAGAGUCAUUUAACUGUACGUUGGACUAAAGAGAAAAUCCAAAAUCACCUUAGAGAUGACAAGAAAUUGCUCUAAGUCAAUAGAAGAAACUCAUUAAGUAGCAAAACAAAAUAUUAUCAUAAUGCUAGAAGUGAGACGGAGGUAAGUCAGCAUGAAGAUCAACAUUUUCAGGCCAGGCGUAGUGGCACAGGCCUGUAACCCAGGCAGGAGGAUCAGGAGUUCAAAGUCAGCCUCAGCAACUUAGCAAGGCGCUAACAGUGAGACCCUGUCUCUCAAUAAAAUACAAAAUAGGGCUGGGGAUGUGGUUCAGUGGUUGAGAGCCCCUGAGUUCAAUCUCCUAUACAAAAAAAAAAAAAAAAGAGAGAGAGAGAUUCACAUUUUGGGGCUGAAGUUGUGACUCAGUGGCAGAGCGCUCGCCUGGCAUGUGCGGGGCGCUGGGUUCGAUCCUCAGCACCACAUAAAAAUUAAAUAAAGAUGUGUGUCCACGGAAAAACUGAAAAAUAAAUAUUAAAAAAUUCUCUCUCUCUUUAAAAAAAUAAAAAAGAUUCACAUUAUCAUAAUGUGCACUUAUAAACCGUAUCUUGAGCUGCCCCCAACAGGAGGACACAGACGUGGUGAGCUUACAGGUUCACGCGUAAGUGUCUUCAGUUGCUCAUCAUGGCUCUGAGAGUCGUCUACCAAGAUCCUAACUGGAACCACUGGAGGUCCCUGAUGUAAAGUCAGUGGCACUGACAGAAACCACGAUUACUUUAGCAGAGAGGUGGCAACACAUGGGAAGGGUGGUGGCUCUGGCCCAGGCCGUGCGAACGCCAGGUAGACUCCACUGCCUGGUGUAGACCUUCCCGUGGCCAGUGCAAGGUGUGCUGGGCCAGCAAGGCCCCUGGAGGAGAGUCCUUGGGAGCACUGUCUUCAUUUUCCAGAAUGUGGGCAGGACUGGGCUCUCUUGCUCGGGAAGAGACAAGGAAGAGGACCAGAGCCCUGCCCAUGGGCGUGGCCUGACACUCAGAGGUGGCCGUGGCCGGUGGAGAGUACCUUCUCUGGAGGCCUGAACCUGUGGGGACACUGCUGGGCCCAGCAGCUCACCGUGUCCUUGUACCCUGGCAGUAAUGGACGCUCUUUCCCCUCCAGAGCCUGGUGUCCACAGGGUUCCUUGACGGCCACCUCCGCCUCCAGCCAGGGCUUCGCCUGGAACACCCAGGAUGCAGGAAUUCUCAAAAUGCUCUACUUUUUAUUCCUUCCUGGUAAUUUUUGUGUGAAAUCUCCAUUUUCUACUCCUAAGUUAUCACGCAUAUUUCUCUUGUGGAAAAUCAGCUGGUGUUGAGAGUGGCUACUGAGGCCAUCAGGGUGUCUGGGAGAAUUGUGGUCUCUUUGCCCGUGUCCAGCUUGUCCCAUGUGUGGCUGACCUUUGAAAUUGCUGCAGGUAGUCUCUCCACAGGAAACGCACUUUGGUUGAAUAUCCAGCAGAUUCCUUCCCAUACCUGGUGGACUUUCUGUCAGAACUUAAUACUUUGGGCUGGGCUGUGGCUCAGUGCUAGGUGCUCGCCCAGCCUGCACGAGGCCAGAUGGAAAAAGAGAACUCGGUACGUUCUGCUUCCUACUCUGUUUUGACCACAGUGGAAACGUUUUGUGGUGGACUUUUAAUGUGGUCUUUGUUUCGGGUUUUUUUUGUUGUUUGUUUUCCUUUGUUUAUUUUGGUACCAGGGAUUGAAACCAGGGUGCUUAAUCACUGAGCGACAUCCCAGCCCUUUUUAUUUUGAGAUGGGACCUUGCGAAGUUGCUGAGUCUGGCCUUGAUCCUCCUGCCUCAGCCUCCUGAGGCGCAUGGACCACCGUGCCCUCCUUAAUGCAGUCCCUUAAUGGCACCAGUAUCUUUAUUGCUCUUCGCUAUUUCAGCAUAUAUUUAGUUACUUAUUUUUAACUAAAUAUAUGAAAAAAAAAAAAAGAAUAUAAUCCUCCCGUCAGUUUUUUCAGAAGACCCUUCUGCUCGACUGAGGGCUCUGUUUCCCGAGUAGCCGUUGUGUCCAGGUCUGAGUUCCCGCCAGGAGCUCUGCAGGGACUGGCUGCUGCCUCCUGGGCCCAGCAUACAUUGAUCCUGUCUCAGUGGCAGCAGGGCUGACCCAGGGCUCGGCCACUCCCCCACCCGCCUCAGAGUCACCAGGAGGCCACCCUCAGGCUGCUUGGGCCUGUUCACGUCUGUGUAUUCAGUACACCUGUCCCCUCUUCUCUCCUGACCUUGGGCUUCUUUUGACAGCAGCCUUGUGCUUCCCUGAAGUCCAGAAUUUUGAUUGGAGCCUUUCUGAUGCCAUCUGAAGUUGGGCUCCUCCCUUCGCUGAGUUUCACAGGCUGCUUAGUCGUGGUCGCUGCAGGGUGUGCUGGAAGGCGUCUCAUGAAGGCCAGACCUUCUCACACCGCCUUCAGCUCUUCUAGAGUUGGUUAUUUAGUUCUUUGCUGCGCCCCUCCCCUGACUCAGGCAAUGGCAAGGCCCUACUGAGGUGGAUGGCCCAAGGCGUCCAUCCUCUGGAGGAGCACAGUAUGUUUCUGGGAAUGGGCUGGUUUGUUUUUGUAUUCCUUUAAUAAGUAUAGUCGCGACUUCUCAUAUGACCAUUAAGUAUGAAGGAAAAAACAUGACUUUCCCAAUUAAUGCAACUACUUCUAAAGAAUAGAUCUGUUUGCUCUAAAUGAAAUGAUUCAGCUGUGGAGCGUAAAUUGUUAAUGUUUAAUGAAAAACUCCUUGUAUUCCUGUCAAGGAAGUUUUUGAGAAAUAAAAUUAAAAUCUAGAGAAGAAGAAUUAAUGUUAAGAAGACAGAUUAGUGCUUGGUACUGGGCAAUUUGUUCUUGUUCCUGUGCACAAUGGUUUGUGUUCUUACUCUUGUUUGAUUAAAAUUAAUAACAAGUUAACCACUUGCCAUAAUCAUGGCACCGGUUCCAGUCAGUAAGUCAAGAAAGAAUAGUCAAGGUAUAGGCCAAUAGUCUGGGACAUUUCUAACUAUAAUUAAAAGCUAACUAAGCAGAAACAGCUCAAAGCAAAACACGAACUGAAAGGAAAAAUGCUUGCUUAUGCAUAAGCCAAGAUACAUUCUUCUAAUUGUAGCUGCGUAAUACUUUGUUUCUUUGAAUAAUGAUUCCUGUUUUGUAACCACAAAGCACUGUGAGCCUGCCAAAAUGAAAAGUAUAUAUGACUAACUUCACAAGUAAAGAUUGGGAUUCAGCACCUUCACUUUGGUGUCUGUGUUGUUUCUCCACCCCCACUUUCGCCGACUCCUCAUCAUCUGUUAGUCUCCUGAGACCCCCUGUUGGAGCUGGACUCCGACAGUUCUUUGCAAAACUCUUGACUUUAAGCCCAGUGAAGAUUUGGGACUUUACCACUGGUGGCCUCGUGGUACAUUUCUUUUGGUCUUUCUCCCUGCCUGGCUACCCCAAUAUUGCCCUGGGGCCUCCAGAUCGGUUUCACUUGAAGCUGGACUCAAGCGUGUCCCUCCCUCCAAAGGGCAGAGGCUCUGGUGGCAGCUCCUAGGCAAACAGACUUUCAUGAUGACAAAUGAAGGACAGCCCUCACUGUCACCACCACUGUGUGAGACGGAGGGCAUGGCUUGCUGCAGUCUCCUGUAGCAGUGUCACUACCUGGAACCUUGUCCCCAAGGCAGCACAACACAGCACUGCAGUUGUUGACAAGCAGGUGGUGGUUUCUCAUCUGCUGGAUGAGAACAGGCCCCUAGGAGGCAGAGGUGGCAUUCGGGACUCGAGCUGCCCACCUGACUCUCUCAGGAGUGCCUGCCCACAGUGAGUGGAAUAAGGGACAGAGUCAGGGGCAGCCCUGUUAGAGGGUCGAGGCGGCAUCUGGGAGAGACCAGGGUGCUUGGAUGUACUGGGGUCUGGUCAUCAGCAUCCAUCCAGCGCCCCGCUCCCCAGCAGCGCCUACCUUAGCGCCUGCCACACUUGGCCAGAGCCAGAGCAGGGCCUCAGGAACAGGAGGCUGCCCAGGAAGGUGCAUGGAGCAGGGAAGGCUGCAGGACCCCAGGAGAGCAGAGGUGGAGAGCAGAGCCCUGGGCAGGGUGGGAAAGUGACAACUCGCUCAUGUUACAGAAUUUCGGAGAGGACUCAGGGAUGCAGGCCUGUGAUCCCAGUGACGCAGGAGACAGAAGCAGGAGGAUUGCAAGUUCACGGCCAGCCGAGGCCACUUAGACCCUGUCUUAAAUUUGGGGCGUAGCUCAGGAGUGGACGGCUUGCCUAGCACGUGCAAGACCCUAGUUUCAAUCCACAGUAUUACAAAAAAAAAAAAAUAAUAAUAAGGGGGACUAAAUGCAACACAGGAGCAGAAAGGUCUGUCCAAGUCACCCAGCACUGCCUGUGUCCAGGGCAUCGGGCAGCAAGAAAGCCUGGUCAGGCAGGGGCAGGGUGAGGACACAUGUCCCGGUGGCCUUUCUCUGCAGGGCAGGUGUGUUUCUCUGGACUUGCUGUGGUCUGCGCCUGGGCUGCUUGUCCAGCAUCACCAGACCUCCCAGGGCAGGAGGUCAUUUGGGGUCUCAUUCUCUAGUCAACCUUGUUUUUCUAGAACUUUUGCUUCCUGUAUCAUUCCCCCUUCUUAUUUAUGUGAAUCUAAUUUUGUAGGUAAGACAACAGAGGCCCAGUCAUGCCCUAGAGUUCCAGCUGUGACCUGUGGACUGGAUUCAAGACCCUCCCAACUCUACUGCUCCCACAAAGUCGCCAAGGACAGAGCCUCCAUCCCUGGGGGCUCAGGAGCAUGGCCGUGCCUGUGCCUGGAGACUGGUUCUGGUAGGUGCCAGCAGGACCAGGCUGAGAGCCAUUGGGCAGCUGAGAGCCCUUGCCUGGUCCCCUGUGUUCCCCAGGGGCCGCCUGGCUGGGUGGAGAUGCUGAGCCAUCACCCGGUUCCCACAAGAGCUUCUGCCAUGGAGAAGAGACACAGACGUGGUGGAGUUGAGUGGCCCUGCCUGCUACUCUGACCACAGGUGCACCAAUAGGCUUAGAGACAGAGAGCUGGUGACUCCCUCAGGAUGUCUCACCUGCAUGGUGAGCCCCUUGCCUUCAAGGCUGUGGUCUCAGAAAAUGGGGCCUUGGGAGGUGAUUGGAUUAUGAUAGGAGUCCUUGAGAACGGGGUUUGUGCCCUUAGAUAAGGGGCCCAGAAAAACCCUUACCCCCUCCAGGGGAGGACACAGUGAGAAGACACCAACCAUGACCCAAGAAGCGGCCCUCACCAGACACCAAACCUGCUGGAGACUUGACCUUGGACUUGUCAGAUAUCAGAACUGUAACAAAAACAUCUGCUGCUUUCCAGCCUCCCGGGUUCUGCUCCUUUUGGAAAGGAGCACGGACUUGCAUGUAUGAGAGUGACAGCCGUGAUUGACAGGCCCUUCCCAUAGAACACACAGCCCUGGGAAUUACGUGGGCGAGCCUCAAGUUUACAAACAAGGAAACUGAGGCACCAGUUAAAUAAUGUGUCCAGGGUCAAGUAACAAAGCCAGGAAUUGGUCCCAGGUUCCAGCUCUGCCUUUGAUAACGUCAUGACAUAGACGUGGAAAACAUCUGUCCACAUUCGGAUCUGGGUGUGAUCAUCAGGUAAAACACGGGAGCCGGAAGCUGUUAGUGCAGCUGCCCUCAGGGGCACAAAGCUCGUGUUGGGAGAUCAGAGGGUGAAGGAACAAACUCGAUGUCUCAGGAUAGCUGGCAGCUAGGCCGGGAGGUGAGGGGCAGGCAACAGGGGCCGACUUCACAGGAAAAAAAAGUGAACUUGGGAGAAACUGCCUGUUGGUCCUUUGUACAGUGAUGCCCUCCUGGGACACUGAGAGGAGGCAGGAGCCACCGCUCCCCAGCGACACGACCACCAGGAGCACAGCAGACACGGUGGUGCUGAGCAGUGAGGCUGGGGAGAGGUGAUUGGGGAUUUCCAGUGGAGGAUGUGCGUGUCGGAAUGUGGCCUCUUCAUAGCAAGCAUCUGUUUAAAACUUGAGCACCCACAACACCGGGAUCAAAACCUGAAAAUAUUCUGAAUUGUAAAAACCGUGAUGAACCAGACACCUGUCUGUCAUCUGGAGCACAGUGUCCCCUCAGAAGUGGAGCACAGGACUAGUCCGCUGAGUCUGGAUACACUGUGUUCCUGUGACUGUUCCCAGGAGGGAGAUCAAAAUAAACAUGACCAGAGUUGUUGAGAGCCACAGCCAAAGGGGCCCCAGCAAACUUUCAGACUGCCAGCUGAUGAUUGGCUCACAAAGGCCCCAGCAACUUCUAGCUGAUUGGCUCCUCUGCGGUGAUGCUCAUUGGGCUGUUUCCCCGCCCUUUCAGACUACGGAGCUGCUCAUUGGGGGACAUUUUUGGCUCUGCCCGCGCGACCCAGCCAAUUGGCCUCAAGAGCAGGAGGAGUGGGGGAGGUUGAGAGGCUUGUGGGAAGCCGGUGGUGGCAGUUGGGCUCUGAA
rnacentral:lncRNA from 1 species